UCGAGAAUCUUCCGCAAUGGGCGAAAGCCUGACGGAGCGACACCGCGUGCAGGAUGACGGCCUUCGGGUUGUAAACUGCUGUCACGCUAUAGGAAUGGGCUGUCGUUAAUAGCGGCAGUCUUGACCAAAGCGAGAGGAAGCACCGGCUAACUCCGUGCCAGCAGCCGCGGUAAGACGGAGGGUGCAAACGUUGUUCGGAAUCACUGGGCAUAAAGCGCACGUAGGCGGUUCGUCAAGUCAGGUGUGAAAUCCCCCGGCUCAACCGGGGAACUGCAUCUGAUACUGGCGAGCUCGAGGAUGGUAGGGGUGAGCGGAACUCCAGGUGGAGCGGUGAAAUGCGUAGAUAUCUGGAGGAACACCGGUGGCGAAGGCGGCUCACUGGACCAUCUCUGACGCUGAGGUGCGAAAGCCAGGGUAGCAAACGGGAUUAGAUACCCCCGUAGUCC
rnacentral:rRNA from 1 species